GACUUUGACACUGAUAUUUUGAUACAGUAAAAGAUUUGGCUGAGCUGGCUGUUGUAGGGGGGGGUAAAAGAACCGUAAAGAAACAAACCUCUCGUUCUUGCACUUCUGGUAUCUAAGCAAAUAAUUGGAAUUGAGAAUUGUAUUUAAAAAUAUCAGUCACAAGAUUUUUAUGCUGAAGCACAGCUAUAAAAACUCGUUGUCUCAGUUUUCCUCCUUCCCACACAGUGUAAUGCUCAGCCCUCAGUUUGGUUUUUCAAAGCUGUUUGGUCUUCUAAAAUUUUUAUUUUGUGAUCAUUGCUUCUCCCCUGUGUAAAUUAUGUUGUCUUUUUUGUAUAUUGUUGUCAUAAAAAAUUGUCUCAUAAAACCAAUAGAGCUUUAUUGUACUGAUGAAUUUGGGUCUUACUGUGCUUUAUUAAGCAGAGUUGAGAGUAAGAAUGCAAACAACUUAAGGAGGGGGCAUUUUGGUAAGCAAUUAGUUCAGCUACAAGAGGCAUUCCAAUAACCAAUUACAACAGUAACAGCAUUCUCUGUAUGUGCUUUAAGAAGUCAUUAUGAAAAGUAUUUGAGAUACUAGCAAGGGCAUAUAGCUUUACCUAGCUGACAGAUUGCCUACCAGCUGCUGAUGCUGACCAGUUGCUAAUGAUCGGGUGCUGCUAUGUUGCAAUGUUACUAAAAGUGUUUUCUCUCCUGACACUUCUGUUAAGGAAAGGGGGGGAGUGUGUGCAUGUAUCUUAAUUGACUUAGUCUGUACCAGCCUUAAUAAUUACAUGGUUUAAAUUAAUGUUUUUUUAAUUAUCAAGGAAGUAGAAGGGAAAAAGGGAGAAUUAAGGGACAAGACAGGUCUGUUUGGGGUUGCCAAUAGUGUUCCUGUACUGUUUGUUUAGGUUAGAUAAUCUGGUUCAGUGUCCUCCUUCAAAUUACUUUUCUGUUCAGCUGGACAUUUCUGUGCCCAGAAAAUAAUCUCCUUUUAUCUGAUGGUUACAAUUGAAAUGUCUGAUUUGGUCACUGUUAUGUUAGGAUGUGCUUCUUGUGUGUAUGCGUGCACACCGGGUACACAGAAUCCUUGAGUAUGCGUGAUACUUUCUCAAAGGCAUCAAGUGGAAAAGGUGUCAAAUGCAGAAGAAAAAGUAAUAUGAGAAGUAAGAAUUUAAGCUGUGGCAAAUGGUUAUUGUUAGACUUGCAGUAUCAGUGAGUUACUUUUAACCAGCUGAUCUCCCUUGAUCCCUCUUUCUCCAAACUGCUCAGUUAUUAAUGUAAUGCAAACAGUAAGUCAUUCAGUUCCUCUUAGUUCUCUUUACGCCUGUCACAUGUAUUUCUGUACAGACUGUUUUGGCAGCAGCAGUGAUAUACAUUUAUUGACUACAUUUGCGGCAGUCUAAAAUAGGUAUGUCUUUCCCAAACACAAUGUAAUAGGAAUUUGUGGGUUAUAUACCUGAAGUAAAUCUGCUUAGAGGAUUCUUUUUCCUAACAGGCUUUAGUGGUUUUUUUUUUUUUUGUCAUACUUUUGCAAUACUCACUGAAAGCAAGAAGGUGCCUUCUCAUAACACCACAUUCUAUUGAGCAUACCUUGCUGUAUUUUGGACUUGUUGGUUCAUAAAACUCAUGGUGAAUUUUUAGUUUUUUAUCAGUAAGUACAAUAUCUCACUCUUUUCUAUACGUGGUUGAAGAGAAGCCUGAAAUAAUUGUGGAGUUGUUUUAUUUUGUUUCUUUUCUCUUCACUCCAGUGUGUGAUCCAUCUCAUUGUCUUAAUUCAUUUCUUCCUUUCCAGAUUAUCUAGGGAACUUUUUCAGCUACGUCCAAUUGUCGUGAGAAUUAUGCAAUAAAGUUAAAGCAAGUUGCUAUAAUGUUGAGUUUAAUGUUAAACAGAGCAUUUCUAGUGGUUAGCCAUUUAACUUUUAUGGAGAAUUCUGAAGUGUUGAGAUCUCUAUUUUGUUACCUGCAUCCAUAUUUUCUAUGAAACAGUGAAUUGCAUCAAACAGAUAAUUCUGCUAGGAAAAGGUACUAGAGGAGAGAGUAGUGGAUGGAUACUCAUCUCAGAUCGUGGACUUCGUUGUAUUUUUUUUUCUGUGCUUCCUGCAUAAACUUGAGCUGAGCAUUGCAGAGUUGAGAAAGGGGACAAAGUACUCUUAAGUGGUCUGCCCUAUAAUUUAAUUGCUAGCUUAUGCUUUAAGGAGCUGAGACAUGUGGGAGAGCGGAGGAUUCACAGAUAACUACUGAUGAAGAACGUGGUGCUAAGGCUCUUCAAGUACAUUUUUCUUGGGUCCAGGCUGGGAGGAAACUAGGAGAAAAUGAACUGUGUUUUGUGCAUGAAUGGUGGGGAGAGGUUCAGUUCAUGUGUGCAAAUUUGUGUGUGACUGGAUGUCCAAAUGAAUCUACUGCUCAUUCUGCCAUCUAAUCCUAUAGCUGUAUAUGACCAUUUUCCUAUCAAAACCCACACUUUUCUAAUAAUCCCCUACAUUAUUAUUCCCAUUAUUUGUUUUCAAGCUGUGCAAAAACUUAAAAUGCUUCUUUCUACUACAUUGUCACCCGAGCAGUUUGUUUGGAUUGAAGGCUUCUCCAAGCAUUCCUCUCACCAUCCGUUCACUUAUUUCUUCCUCUGUGGAUUGUGUUUUUGGAGAGAUGUAACGUGUUCUGCAAGUAUUAGGCUUACAGUACAUGUGACAUUACUCAGUCAGUGUGCAGUACUCAGCAGGACUAAUUAUUAAUGGAUACUAUACUACAAGCUGAACUUGAUGAAUAUUCUAUUGCAAACUUCUGAUUUAUCACAGAGCUGAGGAGUUGGGCAUUUGAGCAGGAAUUUUGAUAGCAAUAUUCAAUGAAUGUAGAGUAAGCACACCAAACAAAACCAACAAUAACCAGAAUCUUCUGUAUGUUGUUAUAUUGUAAGUUAGGUGUCUUCCUCGCUGUUGUGUAGUCUGGUGGUACGUGUAAUAAUGUGACACAUUCAUGAAGAUAUUUCAUCAUGACACUUUGGGCCAGAGAAAGUUGGGCAUAAAAUGAUGUAGUGGAACUUUCAAAACAUUCUUUGCUACCUUUUUCCCCCUUGAGAUUUUACCGGGCAACUCUGAAUUUUGUUUGAACAUGUUGCUUUUAUCAUCUGUAGUUCAGAAUGUGUAGUUGCUUUCAGUCUUGGACUGCAGAAGUAUACCUGGUGUUUAAAACAACAAAAUAGCAAGCAAAGACUCAAACUACAGAAUACAGUAAGAAUAAAUGUUUGUCCUGCAGAAUUAAGUACCUGGAACUGAGAAAAUAUGAGGCUGUGUCUACCUGUGCUAUUAGAACUUCUUUACCCCUUCGCCUCUCCUUCCAUCUAUCUGCUGUUUCAUAUUUUUUUUUUUUAAACUGACCUUUUUCAUUGCAUGAGAUGUGAGAUCAGCAAAAUGUUACUUCUUCCUUGCUAUGCCACUAGAACGCUUCCUGUAUGCUAAUCAAACUAUAUUUAAUGCAAAAUCAUUCAAUUCUGUAUGCUCUUUUCUAAGGUGGAUCUCAACAAAUCACAUUUGCACCUCACAAAAUUCAUUUAUUUUUUCACAGUAUCUCUUGGUGUACUAUCCCAUAACACAUUUGGGUAACUUACCAAAAAAAAAAAAAAAAGAAAAAAAAAAAACACAUUUCAAAGGGCAAACCAGGAAUCUUUCUAUGUAAUUAACAGAAAGACCUCUGUAGAAAUGCUUGAAGUGACUACCUCGAUGGAAACUGUUGUGGAGCUAAAUCAGCUUUUGUAGUACCU
rnacentral:lncRNA from 1 species